CGGUUGAUCCUGCCGGAGGUCACUGCUAUUGGGAUUCGACUAAGCCAUGCGAGUCGAGAGGGUCCGGCCCUCGGCUGACGGCUCAGUAACACGUGGAUAAUCUGCCCUUAGGUGGAGGAUAAUCUCGGGAAACUGAGGAUAAUACUCCAUAGAUCUAGGAUGCUGGAAUGCAUCUAGAUUGAAAGCUCCGGCGCCUAAGGAUGAGUCUGCGGACUAUCAGGUUGUAGUCAGGGUAAAGACCUGACUAGCCUACGACGGAUACGGGUUGUGAGAGCAAUAACCCGGAGACGAUAUCUGAGACACGAUAUCGGGCCCUACGGGGCGCAGCAGGCGCGAAAACUUCACACUGUGCGAAAGCGCGAUGAGGGAAUCCCAAGUGUUUGCUCGUAAGAGUAAACUGUUUCUUUGUUUAAAACGCAGAGAGAGUAAGGGCUGGGUAAGACGGGUGCCAGCCGCCGCGGUAAUACCUGCAGCUCGAGUGGUGAUCAUUAUUAUUGGGCCUAAAACGUCCGUAGCCGGCUUAGUAAAUGCCUGGGUAAAUCGUGUAGCUUAACUAUACGACUUCCGGGUAGACUGCUAAACUUGAGACCGGGAGAGGCUAGAGGUACUCCUGGGGUAGAGGUGAAAUUCUGUAAUCCUAGGGGGACCACCAGUGGCGAAGGCGUCUAGCUAGAACGGGUCUGACGGUGAGGGACGAAGCCCUGGGGCACAAACCGGAUUAGAUACCCGGGUAGUCCAGGGUGUAAACGCUGCUUGCUUGAUGUUAGUUGGGCUCCGAGCCCAACUAGUGUCGGAGAGAAGUUGUUAAGCAAGCUGCCUGGGAAGUANGNUCGCAAGGCUGAAACUUAAAGGAAUUGGCGGGGGAGCAC
rnacentral:rRNA from 1 species